AGUAGAAGCGACUCGGUACCCUCGCUUUUUGCUCGUCACUCUUGUGGCUAUAACUUACGAGCUUGCCCCACAAAAGUUGCCGUACCUGAACGCAGUCACACAAGUUUAUAGCAGUUGUACAAAGUCAAAAUACAUGUAAUACAAAAUGCAUAUAUGUAAUUGUUUUUUUUUGUUUUUGUUUUUGCAGUACCUGUGGUACACCAACCGCCAAAUAAUAGCAAUUAUGCAGACAGUUGGAAUCAGCUGAAUGUUGCAGCAACAUUAAAUAGUCCACAGAAAUUUUUGUAUACAUAAAUAUACUGCUGAAGCACCUUUUAACAGGCUUUUGAAAUUUUGUCAACGGUUUUUAUUUGCUGAAUAUUGAAUGCGGCACUUUGUGCUUAAAAACAGGUAAUCUCAGCUGGAAAAAUGUUUCAGUCAACUGACAUCUUAUCGAAAAAUUUGUAUUUUUGAAGUGAAACUGGUUGAAGUGAUCUAAAACCCUGAUUGUUCCUUUGGAACCAGCUGAAUAGCUGAGGCAAUCCAAAAAGGUCUCAUAUCUCCGAGAACAUCUUGUUAUCCUAUUUGUUUAUGCAUUUUGUACCGGAAAGACCCAAAUUAUUUCCGGCGAAGGACUGUUGCUGCAGCAGCAUUUUCCUUACAUGUAUGCUUGUUCACGCUCUUGCCAAACUUCAGUCGCGCCUCAUAAAUGCAACGUUAAGUGUCCUUAAAAAAGUCGGAUAUGGCAUCGCAGUGAUAAAAUUCAAAGCGGCGUUCAGGAAGCCAGCCAUAUUGAGCAGUCAAACCUUUUUAAUUUCAGUACCAUGUUUCACCCAC